rnacentral:lncRNA from 10 species
UAAAGGCAUGAACAAGGAUACUCCUGCCCUGGGCAAUCCUGCCCUUUUGUUCAUUUCACACGUGUUCCUGGAGCAUCUUCCUCACUGAGAACAUGAUUUUUCAUGGAAGACCUGAAAGAAGAAGAGCGUGGACCUCCCUGACCCUUUGGGGAAGGAAGGGCAUUCCAGACAGCAGGAGCAGCAAGUGGAGAGACCCAGGCGAGAGCAAGCUUGGCAGGCUCUGACAGCUCCCCGACAACAAGGAGGAGACCAGGGAGUGAGGGGAGGUCAGAGAGGAUCAAGACGGGAUCUACAGCCAUGGGACUGAAUGGAAUCCCCUGGAGAGUAAAUGCAGAAAGAAAACUAAAGGUCCAAGAACAGAGGCCAAGCCCACUGUCACUGUCACAGGGUGGCUUCAGGCGAUCAUUCAAAUACAGGUUUACAAAAGAAGUGAUCCUUCCUAAAAAACCCACAGCCAAAGAGUCAGAAGGACCACUCAAGGAGGCAGCCCCUGCCCCCCCCCCGACACACACUCAAGCCAUUCACUUACCUCCCAGAAAGCAGAAUCUUGAGAAAUUUCAUCCUGAAGAACACACGUACAAUGUUCCUUUUUUCUGUCACCAUUUAUUUCAUGAUUUUACCUCAGCCGUGAACUUCACAGUCCUGUUCGUGACUGUUACAUUUCACUUCCUCCCCUCUGGGCCAAGCAGACAUUCCUGGGUGGCCACUGUUCAGCCUUAGAAGGUAUUCAUCAAUUUUAUAUGAUCACAUUUCAGCAUUUGAGGUUCUGCAAGAAGAGUUCUGUUGUUGACACCAUUGGGUCAACUGGAGACUCCACAGAGUUGCCACAGAGCUGCAGUAUGGAGCAUUGGUUUCUUUCUUGAGUUGUGCUAACAAAAUUAAAGAUACGAAUUUAACUGGUCUCGAAUGGACUGUAUGAGUUAGCACUUGCCACAAUACUACUGCAAAACAAAACACCUCACAAUCAGUGUCUGCAACAAUAAACAUGUAUUUCCAAC